AUGCAAUGGCAGUGGGACAAGCAUCAAUCGCGGGACAAAAAUUCACAACAUAUUUUUAUGUUGUCGCGUUCCCCUUCUGAACCAAUAUCAUAUACUUCUGUUAGUGGCGAUCACCUUGAGCAAAUCUGGGACCCCGGAGGCCUUGCGAGCUAUAUAUGCAGUACAUGUGCGUCGACUUCCCUGAUGCAUUACUUGUUUGAAGCUUGGCUUGCAUAUGCGACUCAUAUAUGCACCCAAUUGAGAAUGGAGAAGCCAAUGGCCAGCAGCGAACUAAAUCAGUGGAUGACCAUUCAUUUCUUGCCUGGAACAUGGGAGCUUGAUUGCAGAUUUGACAAGUUCAUAGAGCUACGGGGGUUCUUGCUGCCACUAUAUUGCCAGUCAUGCAAGUCCACGAGGAGCGAAAAAAUCUGUGUGUGGAGCGUACCUGAUGAUCUAGGGAGCUUCACGGUCAUCCAGGAAGACUAUGGGACUUCAGCUUCCAAUCAAGGCACUCUUCAAGGAGGGAGGGGUUUCAUCUCCAGUGCUGUUGUCGUUCGUCGUGCAGGGAUCCAUCAACCACAAGUACUACCUUAA
rnacentral:rRNA from 1 species